AUCAUAUUCCAAUGCAUUACAUGGGCAUUCAAUCAAAGAAACUUUGGUUGUUUUCCAGAACUGGUACUCUUCUAACGGUUAAAAU
ensembl:misc_RNA predicted gene, 27747